UCGGCACGGUGGCGUGGUGCCGAAGAUAGGGAAUCUUGGAUCCACGAGCUAACGGAGCCGAGCGGCUCAGCAUCUGCAGAUGCGGUGAGGGAGGAGCAGGACAUCGCAUGCCGGGGGAGGGCGCACUCCCAUGGUGAGGGAGAUUAGACGCGACCCUCGUGUACCAGGGCUGCAGGAGGCGCCGGUGCGACGGGAGGAGGUAAGCGGUUCAACGUGGAAUAGCUUGCGCGAUCGCGACUGUGAGAGGCGAGUCCGCGUGGUGAGGGAGCUAACUGGUCCGACAUCGUCAGCAUCCAAGACUGCAAGUUACAAGGAGCUGGAUGGAUGAGCUUCUAACAACCAAAUUUUGCACAGAAGAAGCGAUCACCAAGAAGCAAUCUGCUAGUUUGUCUUUUUUAGUUUUUUUAGCCAUUGUUUGCCUUUUGAACGAAAACAUUACUGCAUUAUAGAUAUAUCUAGUAGACUAUAUGCAACAAACCAGAACAUAUGGCCUAUAUAUGUUACGUUUUCGUUUUUUACAGCAGGAUGUUCAUUUGUUUCCUGUGUCUGUGUGUGAGUUGCAUAAUAUGAAACAAAGGUUGACUGAA